AUUGAAGUUUAUCUUCCCCAGUUGAGUUGAGUGCGCAUUUCCUUAGUGAAAUCAUUUUUCCUCGGCAUGAUUCGAGUAACUCAUUUUUAUCCUGACUUACUCAUGUCCCUUGCAAAUGUUGUUUGUUCCCUGGCUGAGUCUUUCAAUUUUAUAUGGAAUUCCUCGAGUUCCCCAACAGUUUUAAGUCGUAGCCUGGCCUACGCAU
rnacentral:lncRNA from 1 species